rnacentral:rRNA from 1 species
UACGUAGGCAGCGAGCGUUGUUCGGAGUUACUGGGCGUAAAGGGUGUGUAGGCGGUUGUUUAAGUUUGGUGUGAAAUCUCCCGGCUCAACUGGGAGGGUGCGCCGAAUACUGAAUGACUUGGAGUGCGGGAGAGGAAAGUGGAAUCCUGGUGUAGCGGUGAAAUGCGCAGAUAUCAGGAGGAACACCGGUGGCGAAGGCGGUGGUCUGGGCCGGCACUGACGCUGAGGAGCGAAAGCGUGGGGAGCGAACAGG